AAAGGGUGCGUAGGCGGUUUAUUAAGUCAGUGGUGAAAGACGGUCGCUCAACGAUUGCAGUGCCAUUGAUACUGGUAGACUUGAGUGGGAUUGAGGUAGCUGGAAUGGAUAGUGUAGCGGUGAAAUGCAUAGAUAUUAUCCAGAACACCAAUUGCGUAGGCAAGUUACUAAGUCUCAACUGACGCUGAGGCACGAAAGUGUGGGUAUCAAACAGGAUUAGAUAUCCCUGU
rnacentral:rRNA from 1 species